rnacentral:rRNA from 1 species
ACCCGCACAAGCGGUGGAUGAUGUGGUUUAAUUCGAUGCAACGCGAAAACCUUACCCACCUUUGACAUGUACGGAAUCCUUUAGAGAUAGAGGAGUGCUCGAAAGAGAACCGUAACACAGGUGCUGCAUGGCUGUCGUCAGCUCGUGUCGUGAGAUGUUGGGUUAAGUCCCGCAACGAGCGCAACCCUUGUCAUUAGUUGCUACAUUCAGUUGGGCACUCUAAUGAGACUGCCGGUGACAAACCGGAGGAAGGUGGGGAUGACGUCAAGUCCUCAUGGCCCUUAUAGGUGGGGCUACACACGUCAUACAAUGGAUGGUACAAAGGGUCGCCAACCCGCGAGGGGGAGCCAAUCCCAUAAAGCCAUUCGUAGUCCGGAUCGCAGUCUGCAACUCGACUGCGUGAAGUCGGAAUCGCUAGUAAUCGUGGAUCAGAAUGUCACGGUGAAUACGUUCCCGGGUCUU